rnacentral:rRNA from 1 species
GACGAACGCUGGCGGCGUGCUUAACACAUGCAAGUCGAACGAAGUGGCGAACGGGUGAGUAACGCGUAAUAAACCUGCCCUUCAGAGGGGGACAACAGUUGGAAACGACUGCUAUUACCCCUUACUGUUGGAGGUGAUUGCUUCGGAUUAGCUAGUUGGAGGGGUAACGGCCCACCAAGGCGAUGAUCAGUAGCCGGUGUGAGAGGCAUGACGGCCACAUUGGGACUGAGACACGGCCCAGACUCCUACGGGAGGCAGCAGGGGGGAAUCUUCCGCAAUGGAGGAAAGUCUGACGAAGCAACGCCGCGUGAGUGAUGACGGCCUUCGGGUUGUAAAGCUCUGUUAAUCGGGACGCGGUAACGGAAGAGAAAGCCACGGCUAACUACGUGCCAGCAGCCGCGGUAAUAG